CCGAGCAGACGUGCUGGGAGUUACGGAUCGGAUCGGAAAGCGGCGGGUUUCUUCUCAUACGGUUUUCGGUUUUAUCGGAAUCGGUUUGGGUUUCGGUUUCUGUUUGGGGUUUACUGUCGGGUUUUCUGUUACUGUUUCUCGCCGUUGCAGUUAACUUCGCGCAAAUGCAGCCAGGUCGCCCAAACGAGAAAUAAGUUCACGUUCAUAGAGCCACCCACCCAGAUCAGAAACAAAAAAAAAAAAAAAAAAACAGAAAAAAAGCAGCUGAAAAAAAAAAUAUCUGAAUCCGGUCAUAUUGAAUCAUGCUCAUAUAUGAAUGUUAACCAUUCACGAUUCGUGCAUGCAUAAAUUAAUCGCUCGUGAUGCCACAAAGGCAACAAACGCAACAAGAAACAACAACAACAACAACAACGAAAACAAAAACAAACACCUGUAAAACCUCUCAGCUAAUCAGCAUCUAUA